GGACUACCAGGGUAUCUAAUCCUGUUUGCUCCCCACGCUUUCGUGCCUCAGCGUCAGUUACAGUCCAGAGAGCCGCCUUCGCUACUGGUGUUCCUCCUAAUAUCUACGCAUUUCACCGCUACACUAGGAAUUCCACUCUCCUCUCCUGCACUCAAGUCUUACAGUUCCAAAAGCUUACUACGGUUGAGCCGUAGCCUUUCACUUCUGGCUUGAAAGACCGCCUACGCACCCUUUACGCCCAGUAAUUCCGGAUAACGCUAGCCCCCUACGUAUUACCGCGGCUGCUGGCACGUAGUUAGCCGGGGCUUCCUCCUCAAGUACCGUCAUUAUCUUCCUNUGAGGACAGAGCUUUACGACCCGAAGGCCUUCAUCGCUCACGCGGCGUUGCUGCAUCAGGCUUUCGCCCAUUGUGCAAUAUUCCCCACUGCUGCCUCCCGUAGGAGUCUGGACCGUGUCUCAGUUCCAGUGUGGCCGAUCAACCCUCUCAGGUCGGCUACUGAUCGUCGCCUUGGUAAGCCGUUACCUUACCAACUAGCUAAUCAGACGCGGGUCCAUCCUAUACCGCAAAAGCUUUGAUAUAAAAGUCAUGCAACUUUUAUAUAUCAUCUCGUAUUAGCAUACCUUUCGGUAUGUUAUCCGUGUGUACAGGGCAGGUUACCCACGCGUUACUCACCCGUCCGCCGCUYUUCUCCGAAGAGAAUCGCUCGACUUGCAUGUGUUAGGCACGCCGCCAGCGUUCAUCCUGAGCCAGGAUCAAACUCUCCAA
rnacentral:rRNA from 1 species